AAGAAAUAUACUGUGGGUCUCAGGAUCGACAGUGAGUGUAUGGAAAUGACGCAAAUUUUUGUUUUUUUUCCUUAGUAGAUAUAUGUUAUAUAUAGUAAAUGUAGAAAAAGAUUACAAACAGACAAUCAGCAUAGUGGAAAUCACGCAUGUUGCAUCCCUCAAGGUUUGUGUUUUGAAAACCCGUGUAUGCUUUAUUUUGAAAUUUAUAUGUUAUAUAUAGUAAAUGUAGAAAAAGAUUACAAAUAUACAAUCAGCAUAGUGGAAAUCACGCAAGUUGCAUCCCUCAAGGUUUGUGUUUUGAACCCCUGUGUAUGCUUUAUUUUGAAAAUUGAGUCAUUCCAUGUACAUUUAAGAGGGACAUGUUGCAGUCCUAAUUGGGUUAGGAAUGUGAUUGUGUAAAUCCUAUUAGGAUUCUGUAAUGUUGUUUAGAUACUGUCCUGAUUCAGUUGUAACACAUAAAGGGGAAGGUCAUAGUCCUAAUUAGGUUAGGAUUGUGAUUGUGUAAAUCAUAUUGAGAUUUUGUAAUAUCUUUUAGGUAGUGUCGUGAUUCAGUUGUAAUAACUCAAGGGUAAGAAAUUUAUCUUCCCUACUACUAUAAAUAAAGGAACAAUGAGGUUGAGAUAACACACCAUAGAUUGCACCAAAUUCUCUCUCUCCUUAUCGCCGCACCUCUCUCUCCUUGUCUAUAAUUCUUCAGUUAAAUACGUCUACAACAUGUUAUCAGUGUUGGAAAUAUGCCCUGAAAGUCAAUCUUUGGAAGAAACCUUUCAGGACA
rnacentral:lncRNA from 1 species